rnacentral:lncRNA from 1 species
UGUCUAAGUCAGAGUCUCCUAAAGAGCCCGAAUAGCUGAGGAAGCUCUUCAUUGGAGAGUUGAGGUUUGAAACAACCGACGAGAGCCUGAGGAGCCAUUUUGAGCGAUGGGGAAUGCUCACAGACUGUGCGGUAAUGAGAGAUCCAAACACCAAGCGCUCCAGGGGCUUUGGGUUUGUUACAUACGCCACUGUGGAGGAGGUGGAUGCAGCCACGAAUGCAAGGCCACACAAGGUGGAUGGAAAAGUUGUGGAACCAAGGAGAACUGUCUCAAGAGAAGAUUAUCAAAGAUCAGGUGCCCACUUAACUGUGAAAAAGAUAUUUGUUGGUGGCAUUAAAGAAAACACUGAAAAACAUCAGCUAAGAGAUUAUUUUGAACAGCAUGGAAAAAUGGAAGUGAUUGAAAUCAUGACUGAGGCAGUGGCAAGAAAAGGGGCUUUGCCUUUGUAACCUUUGACGACCAUGACUCCAUGGAUAAGAUUGUCAUUCCGAAAUACCAUACUGUGAAUGGCCACAACUGUGAAGUUAGGAAAGCCCUGUCAAAGCAAGAGAUGGCUAGUGCUUCUUCCAGCCAAAGAGGUCAAAGUGGUUCUGGAAACUUUGGUGGUGGUUGUGGAGGUGGUUUCUGUGGGAAUGACAACUUUGGUCAUGGAGGAAACGUCAGUGGUCGUGGUGGCUUUGGUGGCAGCCAUGGUGGUGGUGGAUAUGGUGGCAGUGGGGAUGGCUAUAAUGGAUUUGGUAAUGAUGGAAGCAAUUUGGAGGUGGUGGAAGCUACAAUGAUUUUGGCAAUUACAACAGUCAGUCUUCAAAUUUUGGACCCGUGAAGGGAGGAAACUUUGGGGCAGAAGCUCUGGCCCCUAUGGUGGCGGAGGCCAAUACUUUGCCAAACCACCAAACCACAGUGGCUAUGGUGGUUCCAGUAGCAGCAGUAGCUAUGGCAGUGGCAGAAGAUGUUA